GAGCGGUGGCUUGCCCCUGCGCGCAUGCCCGGUAGCGGUUGGAGCCGUUGGGAGCGGCCGUUAGGGGUUCGGUCAGGGCUGAGGGGAGAAACCGGUAACGUGCCUGAAGGGGGUUUCUCUCUUGCCGUUAAAACCCGGCUGUGAGGAACGUGCUGGUAAAGGCAGACCUACGCCGAUGCUUGGAGGCAGACUGAGUGUGGGAAGCCGCCUCCCGCCGUGCUGAGCAGCUUCAGAUGUCGCUGAGGAAGCAGCGGGGGCACCAGGCGCAGCUGGCCCCCAACAGCCGCAGCUGGCCCCCGCGAGAACAAAAAGCAAGGCGAGAAGACCAGCGAGUUGCUUCAGGAGGCCUUUUUCGUGGAGUAUCCUUAGCCAGUACCACUUCCCAGCCUGGGAAGCAAGCACGGGCUUGCUGCAGUUGUUGCUCUGCAGGCAGGGAGUAGCUCUGCAGCUAGAGAAAAUGAUGCUCAUCUGCUUCAGCGCGAGAGAGUAAAGUGUACAGGUGUCCAUAUGCAAGAUGGAAAGCACGUAGGAAACUCGCAUACUACGUCUUCAAAUAGCAGCACUGUGAUGUAAAGGUUUCAGGAGACCUAUGAGCAAUUGUUAACUAUGGACAUGGUCCUGCUCAAAGAAAAAAACCUGUUGUUAUUACAAAAGAAUGCUGUCAAGCUUAUUCCAGGUUCAGUGUAAUCUACCUAUUCCUUCAUCACAUGAAAUAAAAAAGUGGAGAAAUGCUUCUAA